rnacentral:snoRNA from 1 species
AAGACCGUACUUACACAGGAUCAUUUCUAUAGUACUUUCUUUUCUACUUGACUUUCCAAGCUAGAUAAUCUCAUUGACUUUGAUGAUCGUAUUCGACUUCAUUCAUUGACUCGGGAUGUCGGUGGUUGUAGUGCUGGGUUCUCUUUUGGACUUGGCCUCUCAUUGAUGAACGCCCGUUGUCGCUAUUCCAAGGCAGCAUGAGUAAGUGGAGUGAUAUGAGAAGU